AAAAAAAAAAAAAAUUUUAAAUAUCAUCCAUGCAAUUUUGUCUUUUUUUACUUAUUAUCUUAUGAUUUAAAGUGUAUCAAUUUAGUAUUCUGUAAUUUCAUUUUUUUUUCUUUCUGUCGGCCUUCCAUUAAUUAACUUUUCGAUAAAUCAUAUACAAAAAACUUCAGAUAUCCCACAUAUAGUUUAUCGAAUAUUCAUUUUAAUAUCCUUUAGUUUUUAACGAAAAAAAUUAGUAGAGUGGAUAACAAAAAGAAAAAAAUAAAAUCAUAGAAUACAAAAGUGAUACACUUUAAAUCACAGAAUAUUAAAAUGAGAAUAUGCGAAAUCACAUGAGUAGUAUUUAAAGCUUUCCCCCCUCCCCCCCUCCCCCUGUAAUUUCAUUUUUUUUAUUUUUGUCGGCCUUCCGUUAACUUUUCGAUAAAUCAUAUGCAAAAAACUUCAGAUAUCCCACGUAUAGUUUAUCGAAUAUUCACUUUAGUAUCCUUUAGUUUUUAACGAAAAAUAUUAGUAGAAUGGAUAACAAAAAGAAAAAAAUAAAAUUAUAGGAUACAAAGUGAUACACUUUAAAUCACAGAAUAUAAAGUGAGAAAGCGCGAAAUCACAGGAGUGGUAUUUAAAAGCUCCCCACCCCCCCCAAAAAAGGUAGAG
rnacentral:lncRNA from 1 species